rnacentral:rRNA from 1 species
CUGGCUCAGGAUGAACGCUGGCGGCGUGCUUAACACAUGCAAGUCGAACGAAGCAGUUUAUCAC